rnacentral:rRNA from 1 species
AUGCAUGUUUCUCUGGAUGGCAGAUUUGUCUUAGUUAAGCAGGUUCUUUCAGCCAUGGUGGUCUAUCAGAUGCUCGUCCUAGAGCUGCCGGUGUGGGUAAGGAAACAAAUUGACAAGUUGCGCCGAGGAUUUCUAUGGGAAGGGAAGGAGUUUGCAAAUGGUGGGAAGUGUCUGGUAAGCUGGAAGGUGGUAUGUCGGCCAACAUGUUUCGGAGGACUAGGAAUCUCAGAUCUUGCAGCACAGAGUACAGCCCUGAGACUACGGUGGAUGUGGAUGCAAUGGACUGACCCAAACAAGGCCUGGAGUGAUUUA